AUUGAACGCUGGCGGCAGGCCUAACACAUGCAAGUCGAGCGAGCGGCGGACGGGUGAGUAAUGUCUGGGAAACUGCCUGAUGGAGGGGGAUAACUACUGGAAACGGUAGCUAAUACCGCAUACCAUCAGAUGUGCCCAGGUGGGAUUUGCUAGUAGGUGGGGGAACGGCUCACCUAGGCGACGAUCCCUAGCUGGUCUGAGAGGAUGACCAGCCACACUGGAACUGAGACACGGUCCAGACUCCUAGACGUGGCAGUAUGGGGGAAUAUUGCACAUUGCGCUCAAGCCUGAUGCAGCCAUGCCGCGUGUGUGAAGAAGGCCUUCGGGUUGUAAAGCACGUUCAGCGGUGAGGCGUUACCCGCAGAAGAAGCACCGGCUAGCUCCGUGCCAGCAGCCGCGGUAAUAC
rnacentral:rRNA from 1 species